GAUGAAGAACGCAGUGAAAUGCGAUAAGUAGUGUGAAUUGCAGAAUUCAGUGAAUCAUCGAAUCUUUGAACGCACAUUGCGCCCCUCGGUAUUCCGUGGGGCAUGCCUGUUCGAGCGUCAUUUAACCCCUCAAGCCUAGCUUGGUAUUGGGUGCUUGUCCCGCCUCUCGCGCGGCGACUCACCUCAAAGUCAUUGGCAGCCCGCAUCUCGCCGGCCGUGAGCGCAGCACAGACGCGCUCUUGGCAACGUCGGAUCGGCUCUCCAAAAGCUUAUUUCAACCACUGACCUCGGAUCAGGUAGGGAUACCCGCUGAACUUAAGCAUAUCAAUAAGCGGAGGA
rnacentral:misc_RNA from 1 species